rnacentral:tRNA from 1 species
AGUCUUAAAGUGUUUAUCAUGUCGAAUUGCAAAUUCGAAGGUGUAGAGAACNCCC